AAAAUGGAGUUGGAUAAACGAACCUGUGGGUAUUUCGAAGGAUGAUAUAUUGUCUAAGACUGGAUUACUUGAGCAAAUAAAUACCACAGCUGAUAGAAGUGAUUAUUUGUGGUACUCAUUAAGGUACACAAGCCUCCAAAUUUGAAAGAUAUUUGCUUUGACCGAUGAUUAUGUACUUCUUGAUAACACUUCUCUUGUAUUUUUUAAAGCCUUGAUCUUGCGGAUGAUCCCGGUUCUCAAACUGUCCUGCACAUUGAAUCACUUGGCCAUGCCCUUCAUGCUUUCAUAAACGGCAAGCUUGCUGGUAAACAUUUGUUAGGGUUUUUAUGGUUUUUUGUAUUCUGGAUCUCUCAGAGAGCCUUUGUUUUAUUGAAUCUCAAACAAAACUGUUGAAAAUUAAAAAACUUCCCACAUAGGAGCCUUUGUUUAUAAGUCAUCAAAAGUUUGAGACCACUGGUUCAAACUUUUGGACCAUGGGCCUCUACACUAUAAACAAACUAACCAACUAUGUUCCUACACUCCAAUUGGGUGUGUGCCAUAAUCCAACAAAUACCAAGGUUGAUGUUAAAUCAAGUUGCUCAUGGAAGUUCUUCUAAUAUCAUAUGCUCUUUUAGCAGAUGUCCUAGGAGUGUCCUUUACAAGGAACUAGUCUAGCUAUUUCUUUUUUCCUGUUUCUUUUCCUUUAGCUCAUGUAACAAAAAAAAAAAAGUAACUAUUCUGUGAUAUUAUUGACAACUUUUCAGGGAAUCAAGCAGGAAACAGUGAUAAAUCUAAGCUUAAUGUGGACAUCCCAAUCGCACUAGUUUCCGGAAAGAACAAAAUUGAUCUACUGAGUUUAACAGUUGGACUUCAGGUUCAGCUUUUCUUGUUUUUAGUUUCUAAAUAUGCAUUUGCUCAUUAUAUUCCACCGUGCAUAGACUGGCUUGCUCCUUCAGUGAUUUCUCUCAUUACUAUAUCUAAGCUAAUAUGAACCAUAUACACAUCAGAACUAUGGAGCCUUUUUUGACACAGUGGGAGCAGGGAUCACCGGUCCCGUGAUAUUGAAAGGUUUGAAGAAUGGCAACAACACUCUUGAUCUCUCCUCUCGGAAGUGGACAUAUCAGGUCAAUCUUAAAUUUUUGAUCGAAAACUAUUUAUUAUUCUUUCUUUAUCACUUUAAUGGAAUACAUUGUUAAUGGAGUUAAUUUUUUCGAUACAGAUUGGCCUAAAAGGCGAAGAUUUAGGUCUGUCUAGUGGAAGUUCUGGAGGGUGGAAUUCACAGUCUACUUACCCUAAGAACCAACCAUUGGUUUGGUACAAGGUAGUUUUAUUUUCAAUUUAUUGUUUCCCUUGAUAUAAGUAAGGGAAUUUCAAAUUAAGGAAAUGCCACUAUAUGAAAAAUGUUUUUUUGCUACUAACCAAUGUAAUACAUGUUGCACUAGACAAACUUUGAUGCUCCAUCCGGCAGUAAUCCAGUUGCGAUUGACUUCACGGGGAUGGGAAAAGGUGAGGCUUGGGUAAAUGGACAAAGCAUUGGGCGAUACUGGCCUACAUAUGUCGCUUCAAAUGCCGGUUGCACAGACUCAUGCAACUAUAGAGGACCUUAUACUUCAUCUAAAUGUCGCAAGAACUGUGGAAAACCGUCACAGACAUUGUAAGUGUUGCAAAUUUUCAAUAAAAAAAAGUUUAAACAAAGAAAAUAAUCUUGAUCUAUGAUGUUACUGAGACAAUAAUCGCAUCUUGCAGAUACCAUGUACCACGAUCGUUUUUGAAACCAAACGGCAACACUCUUGUAUUGUUUGAGGAAAAUGGCGGUGAUCCGACCCAAAUAUCUUUUGCUACAAAACAGCUGGAAAGUGUGUGUUCACAUGUAUCUGAUUCUCACCCACCUCAAAUAGACUUGUGGAACCAAGAUACAGAAUCAGGGGGAAAAGUAGGGCCUGCUCUGUUGCUCAGUUGUCCUAAUCAUAAUCAGGUAAUUUCAUCCAUCAAAUUUGCAAGCUAUGGAACACCUUUAGGGACGUGUGGAAACUUCUACCGCGGACGCUGCAGCAGCAAUAAGGCGCUGUCAAUUGUAAAGAAGGUGUUUAUCUGAACUCCUGUUCCCUUACUAAUUUGUUAUGUUUCACAUUGGUUUAGAUUGACUAUGUUGGCCAUGGCUAAUAGUUUACUGAUAUGUGAGUAGGUUGCUUGAGCUGAUCAGAAUAAUAGAAAAUCAACUAACCAAUUAAUUGUAUUUAAACACAAGCAGUAAUAUGUAACUCUAAGCUUGAACAAUAGAAAACACUACAACCACUUUGCAGCCGUAGACAGACACAAUUUGCCGAACUCGGUGAUCAAAUCUUGUUUGUUUUUGUUGGUUUUAAAGAGGUUAGCGGCUGAAACACACUAUGCACAGAAAAGUGGAGAAUUGUGGGUUCAACCCGAGCUCUAACAUAUCAAAUGUUCCCACAUCCUUUUACCAUAUGAGUUGUACUUACGGGACAAUCACUUGUGUUCUUUGUUUCCGUUUAUCAUAUCUGUUGUCUUUUGAACCAGAGUUGUUGUAACAUACUAAAAUCAUCUUAUUAACAGGCCUGCAUUGGAUCAAGAAGUUGUAGUGUUGGAGUAUCAACUGAUACAUUUGGAGACCCUUGUAGAGGAGUACCGAAAAGUUUAGCUGUUGAAGCUACUUGUGCAUAGACAAACAUGUAACAUGUUGCUCUAAGAGCAGUCCUCAAUUGUGUUCAACUCUUAUCUUCAAUUCAUCUUCCCUAUCUAAAUUAGAAUUGUAUUCUAGGAACAUCCCAAUUUUUUAUUUUUCACUUAGAAUAGUGCUGUACCACUUGCAAUAAAAGAACAAAAAUGUGGUCCAUAUGGUGAUCUUUGAUACGUGAUAAAACGGUGUUCUUUUGUUGUUCUAGUAGUGAAAAGGAUGGUAAUGGUCCCAUAUAUACUUGUAAUACAAGUUGCACUCAGUGUGAGGAACCUGAACAGUGAAAAGUGGAAAAUUUGGACUUUUGGAGUAUGAACCAAGUUGGAUUAUUAGUUGGAAAAUGAUGUAUUUGAAAUUUUACUUCUUGUAGAGGAAGGUAACGAGAUAGAGGAGAUUCAAUUAAUCAACAUUAGGCAAAAUUUGUGUUGAGUUCUGUUAAUCAUGUUUCUGUAGAUAUCCUAACAUUUGAAUGAAAAUAUAAUACAUGAUUUAUUUGAAAACUUUAUAUUUUUUUAUUUUAAUCACCUGUAUUAUUUUUUUAAAAAAAUGGUGACUUCUUUAAUAAAUAUAAUAAUAAAGAAUAAUCAAUGUUUAUUUUCUUCAAGUAUUUUACAUGCAUAUAUAUAUAAGUUUUAAUAUACUUUUUUUUAACGUAUCAUAUCUUAAAUUUAAAAAAAAAAUUGUGUAUUUGCGUACCCAUAUUGUAUGCCCAAAUGCCCUUAAUUUGGAAAUGCUAGCAAGUGUCAUAAGGGUACUUGUUUAGAAGUUUAAAGUAAAAGUUUUAUCUUAGAAAUUGUGUAUUCAAUACAUUGAAACAACAAAAAGUAAUUUUUUUCAACAAAAAAUUUAUCAGUUAUUUCUAUUUUUGAAUCUUUAACAAGUGUCUUUAAGGCAAUUGUUUGCAUAACCCUAAUAUUAGUUCUAUGAAGCAGAUUUUUUUUUGUUCAUAAUCAAUAUGUAGAAUUUAUUCUUUUUUUAUUUUUAAAUACAAAGAAAAAGUGUUCUCAAUACUUUUUGUCACAUGAGCUGCAGAAAUUUAACGAUCCAAAUUGAGUCAGUUGGUAAAAAGAUGUUUCAUUUAACAAUCCAAAUUGAUUCAGUUGGUAAAAAGAUGUCUCAUAUGCUAGAAGGGUAUGAAUUCAAUUCUCGCAGCUAUAAUGAAAAAUGGAUGGGUAAUUUAUAAAUACCCCUAGUGAACCCGUCAUCUAAGUUAUCUAAACUUUUUUUUAUAUAAAAUAAAGUAAAAAUAUGCAAUGUAUGUAAAUAAUGUGAUAAUAAAAAAGUAUAAUAAACGUGUUUGAGUUGAUUAAACAAUGUUAAGUUUGUCCUUACGAGCUUAGUUUAGUUGGUAUAGACAAUGCAUCAUAAUAUAUGUAAAAUACGAGGUUCAAACCCCGACCAUCAAAAAAAAAAAAAACAAUGCUAAGUUUGUGGAGAAUGAUAUUGCAGUUCAACCCCCACAUGAAUACAUUUUUAAAGUUGUUUUAUGAUGCAACAAGAAUCCAAUUUGAUAUCCCUAAUGAGGUCAAAAAUCCUAUCUAUUUUUUUUUUUUAAAUUAGAGGUGUUUAUUAUAGUUUUAGAAUAAAUUAAUGCACAUAUUUUUUAAAAAAUUUAAUAAUAAUUAGACUUUAUUUUACAAACUAGUUAGAUAUAUUUAUGUACUUAAAUUAUAAUAAUAAGAUGAAAUAAUUUAGAUGACGAGUUGAGUAAGAAUUUUACCUAAUAUUUAUCAAAUGUUACAAGAACUAAAUAAUAACACCUAUUUUUUAUUUAGUUAUAUUUUUUAAGUGUUACUAAAUCUCAUAUAUAUGUUAUAGUGCCUACCACAUAAGGUAUUUUUUUUUUUUGAAGGAUACCACAUAAGGUAUUUAUUCACUGAAUAUACGUUUAUAAUUCGGACAGAGGGCGUAUUACCUUGUUUCUCCUCAUAGAAUGUACAUUAUAUAUACACGUGUUAUAUUACUCAUGUUCUUCUUCUAAGCAUCAUCACUUACAUUUCACAUCCACGUGACCAAAAAAACACAUGUAACAAAUAAACCAAACCAAACCAAAGUCCAAUCUUUCCUUCCCUAGUGAGUUUCUUUUUCUCUUUUUGGAUCAUUCAUUCUUCUAGAAUAAUUACCAUGAGAGCCACUGAAAUUGUGUUGGUUCUGCUUUGGUUCUUACCAACAAUGUUUUGCACCAAUGUGGAUUAUGAUCAUAGAGCAUUGGUCAUUGAUGGUAAACGUAGAGUCUUGAUUUCUGGUUCUAUUCACUACCCUCGUAGUACUCCACAGGUUUUAUUUUAUGUCUCUCUUUGAUUCUGUUUGUGUGUUGAAUUUAAACAGUGCUGAAUUUGUUGUUGUUUAUAGAUGUGGCCAGACCUUAUUCAGAAAUCUAAAGAUGGAGGACUUGAUGUUAUUGAAACCUAUGUUUUCUGGAACUUACAUGAACCUGUUAAAGGCCAGGUUCUCUUUGCUUCAUUUCUUCUCUUACAUUCUUACCAUUUUCUUUGAGCAUUGCAUUUGUUCAUUGCUUGCAGGAAAAGAAAACAAGUGUCUAUGUUAAGCUGAAUUGCUAAUUGUUGAAAGCAUGACUGAACAAGUUUGGAUUGACUUAUUUGAGUUUAUCUACUGACAUAAUCUCUCCAAGAUAGAUAAUGAAACAUAUUAACUAUAUGAAAACAAUAUGACUCUAAAAUCUUUUGUAAAUAGAAUAAGCACUUAUAUGUUAUAAGCACUUAAUUAAGUAUUUUAUCCAAAUAUGAUCUUGAUCUACUAUAAGCUAAGAAAGUCUAUCUUAAUUCAUUGAAAUGAAAUGGAUUUUUGCAGUAUGAUUUUGAUGGGAGGAAGGAUUUGGUGAAAUUUGUGAAAGCAGUAGCUGAGGCAGGUCUAUAUGUGCAUCUCCGGAUUGGUCCAUAUGUUUGUUCUGAAUGGAACUAUGGGUAAAGUUUGGUAAUUUAUGUGUAUUAUAUUUCGAGGGUGUUCAUGUCUAAUUGAGGGCUUUAACUUCUUGACAGUGGUUUCCCUCUUUGGCUUCACUUCAUUCCAGGGAUUAAGUUCCGAACUGACAAUGAACCAUUUAAGGUAAGUUAACCUUCAGUCCAGUGCUUCAUGCUUUUGUCCUUGGACUGAGUUCACUUGACAGGAAACUUUGUCUUCAGGUUGAAAUGAAGCGAUUCACCACUAAGAUUGUCGACCUCAUGAAGCAAGAGAAACUGUAUGCAUCACAAGGAGGACCUAUAAUUUUAUCUCAGGUUUUUUUAUCAUGAAAUACAAUACAAGUAUAGUUAAUAUAUUCUUGAAGAUAUUAAGGUCAAAGUUUAUAUUUGUUAAUGUGAGAGUGUUUGUGAUUUCUAAUGACAGAUAGAAAAUGAGUAUGGAGACAUCGAUUCAGCCUAUGGUUCUGCUGGUAAAUCAUACAUCAAUUGGGCAGCAAAAAUGGCUACAUCUCUUGAUACAGGUGUACCUUGGGUCAUGUGUCAGCAAGCAGAUGCUCCUGAUCCAAUUGUAAGUUUUAUGUUUUGAUAUGUCAAUGUUAAUUGUUUUUUAGUUUAUGGUUUACUAGGUUGCCUGUCUUCCGGAAAAGAGCAAUCUUGGUAUGCCGUUUGCAUUCAUCUUACUCAAUUUUUACUUGAACUGCAAGUAGAUUAAUACCUGCAAUGGAUUUUACUGCGAUCAAUUCACACCAAACUCUAAAACAAAGCCAAAAUUGUGGACUGAAAAUUGGAGUGCAUGGUUAGCAACUUAGCAUCCUUUUUUAUAUAAAUAAUUUAAUCAAUUUGUUUAUGUUAUUUUCCAAAUCUUACUUGAAUUCUUUGGAAUGGUAGGUAUCUUUUAUUUGGUGGUGGGUUUCCUCACAGACCUGUGGAAGAUCUCGCAUUUGCUGUCGCACGCUUUUUCCAACGAGGUGGAACAUUUCAAAAUUACUAUAUGGUAUUGCAACCUGAAAUGUUCUUCACAAGUUCAGAAUAAUAUGAUAAUAUUACUUCACUGAAAAAUUGGCUCUAAGAGGAAUUAGCUGAUACUGUAUCAUUUUUCAUUGCUUGACUAAAAACAGUACCAUGGAGGAACCAACUUUGACCGAAGUACUGGAGGACCAUUCAUUGCAACAAGUUAUGAUUUUGAUGCACCGAUUGAUGAGUAUGGUAUGACUCCUUCAACCUUCUUAUUGAAAUCUAUUGUUCAUGUUGUAGCCGUCACAAAUACAACACUGGUAAUACAUCGAAGAAGAUAAAUUGAUAAUAUCACAUGGAUAGUUUAUUUCUUAUAUGUAGAAGAGAAAUUACACUGGACGAUUGGAUUUUUUAAUAUCUUCGCUACAUGCUGCAGGAGUUAUUAGGCAGCCGAAGUGGGGUCAUCUUAAAGAUGUGCACAAGGCCAUAAAGCUUUGUGAAGAAGCAUUAAUAGCCGCAGAACCCAAGAUUACUUAUCUUGGUCCAAACCUAGAGGUAUAGAUGGUUUAUAUUGAAAUUUUUGUUCGUUUGAAACAUCUUAUUCCGCGUCUUAGGAUAUAAUUUAUUUUGUAACUAAAACUCAUCUGGUUUGUCAAUAGUGUAAGAUUCUUUCUUUGAAAAAUUCCCGGCAUUAAUAGUCUUUUACUAAUAAAACCGCAGGCGGCCGUUUAUAAGACAGGAUCUGUAUGUGCUGCCUUUCUCGCCAAUGUGGACGCCAAAUCUGAUAAAACCGUAAAUUUCAGUGGCAAUUCAUAUCACUUGCCUGCAUGGUCUGUGAGCAUCUUGCCAGAUUGCAAGAAUGUAGUGCUUAAUACUGCAAAGGUUUGUCUUACCUUCAUUUGUGUUAAGUUGCUUCAAUAACACAAUUAUCUCAAUCAAAAUAGAUAGUUUAAUUGAAUAGAGUUACUAAAAAAGUGUGAUUCAUAUUCAUUUUGUGAAUAUUCUAUCUAUACCAAGGUGUUUUCUCUUAUUUGUUAGUCCAAAGUAAGUAGGAUGUAAUAAAAGUAAAUUUUUUUAUGCCAGAUUAAUUCUGCAUCUACAAUUUCAAACUUCGUAACUGAAUCUUUAAAAGAAGAUAUCAGUUCUUCAGAAACUUCUAGAUCAAAAUGGAGUUGGAUAAACGAACCUGUGGGUAUUUCGAAGGAUGAUAUAUUGUCAAAGACUGGAUUACUUGAGCAAAUAAAUAUCACAGCUGAUAGAAGUGACUACUUGUGGUACUCAUUAAGGUAUACAAGCCUCCAAAUUUGAAAGAUAUUUUCCCUGACUGAUGAUUCUGUACUUCUCGAUAACACUUCUAUUGUAUUCUUUUGAAGCGUUGAUCUUAAGGAUGAUCCUGGUUCUCAAACUGUCCUUCACAUUGAAUCGCUCGGCCAUGCCCUUCAUGCUUUCAUAAACGGCAAGCUUGCAGGUAAUUAUUCACAAGGAUAUGGUUUUUAUAUUUUGAAA
rnacentral:lncRNA from 1 species